rnacentral:rRNA from 1 species
CAGUGACGGCGAGUGAGCGGCAACAGCUCAAAUUUGAAAUCUGGCCUCGGCCCGAGUUGUAAUUUGUAGAGGAAGCUUCUGGUGCGGUCUGUUCCGAGUCCCCUGGAACGGGGCGCCAUAGAGGGUGAGAGCCCCGUACGGACGGAUACCAAUCCUGUGUGAAGCUCCUUCGACGAGUCGAGUAGUUUGGGAAUGCUGCUCAAAAUGGGAGGUAAAUUCCUUCUAAAGCUAAAUACCGGCCAGAGACCGAUAGCGCACAAGUAGAGUGAUCGAAAGAUGAAAAGCACUUUGAAAAGAGGGUUAAACAGCACGUGAAAUUGUUGAAAGGGAAGCGCUUAUGACCAGACUUGCGCCAGGCUGAUCAUCCGGUGUUCUCACCGGUGCACUCUGCCUGGCACAGGCCAGCAUCGGUUUCCGCGGGGGGAUAAAGGUCCCGGGAAUGUAGCUCCUCCGGGAGUGUUAUAGCCCGGGGCGCAAUGCCCUCGUGGGGACCGAGGUUCGCGCAUCUGCAAGGAUGCUGGCGUAAUGGUCAUCAGCGACCCGUCUUGAAACACGGACCAAGGAGUCAAGGUUUUGCGCGAGUGUUUGGGUGUUAAACCCGCACGCGUAAUGAAAGUGAACGUAGGUGAGAGCUUCGGCGCAUCAUCGACCGAUCCUGAUGUAUUCGGAUGGAUUUGAGUAGGAGCGUUAAGCCUUGGACCCGAAAGAUGGUGAACUAUGCUUGGAUAGGGUGAAGCCAGAGGAAACUCUGGUGGAGGCUCGCAGCGGUUCUGACGUGCAAAUCGAUCGUCAAAUCUGAGCAUGGGGGCGAAAGACUAAUCGAACCAUCUAGUAGCUGGUUACCGCCGAAG